GGUUAAGCGACUAAGCGUACACGGUGGAUGCCCUGGCAGUCAGAGGCGAUGAAGGACGUGCUAAUCUGCGAUAAGCGUCGGUAAGGUGAUAUGAACCGUUAUAACCGGCGAUUUCCGAAUGGGGAAACCCAGUGUGUUUCGACACACUAUCAUUAACUGAAUCCAUAGGUUAAUGAGGCGAACCGGGGGAACUGAAACAUCUAAGUACCCCGAGGAAAAGAAAUCAACCGAGAUUCCCCCAGUAGCGGCGAGCGAACGGGGAGCAGCCCAGAGCCUGAAUCAGUAUGUGUGUUAGUGGAAGCGUCUGGAAAGGCGCGCGAUACAGGGUGACAGCCCCGUACACAAAAAUGCACAUGCUGUGAGCUCGAUGAGUAGGGCGGGACACGUGGUAUCCUGUCUGAAUAUGGGGGGACCAUCCUCCAAGGCUAAAUACUCCUGACUGACCGAUAGUGAACCAGUACCGUGAGGGAAAGGCGAAAAGAACCCCGGCGAGGGGAGUGAAAAAGAACCUGAAACCGUGUACGUACAAGCAGUGGGAGCACGCUUAGGCGUGUGACUGCGUACCUUUUGUAUAAUGGGUCAGCGACUUAUAUUCUGUAGCAAGGUUAACCGAAUAGGGGAGCCGAAGGGAAACCGAGUCUUAACUGGGCGUUAAGUUGCAGGGUAUAGACCCGAAACCCGGUGAUCUAGCCAUGGGCAGGUUGAAGGUUGGGUAACACUAACUGGAGGACCGAACCGACUAAUGUUGAAAAAUUAGCGGAUGACUUGUGGCUGGGGGUGAAAGGCCAAUCAAACCGGGAGAUAGCUGGUUCUCCCCGAAAGCUAUUUAGGUAGCGCCUCGUGAAUUCAUCUCCGGGGGUAGAGCACUGUUUCGGCAAGGGGGUCAUCCCGACUUACCAACCCGAUGCAAACUGCGAAUACCGGAGAAUGUUAUCACGGGAGACACACGGCGGGUGCUAACGUCCGUCGUGAAGAGGGAAACAACCCAGACCGCCAGCUAAGGUCCCAAAGUCAUGGUUAAGUGGGAAACGAUGUGGGAAGGCCCAGACAGCCAGGAUGUUGGCUUAGAAGCAGCCAUCAUUUAAAGAAAGCGUAAUAGCUCACUGGUCGAGUCGGCCUGCGCGGAAGAUGUAACGGGGCUAAACCAUGCACCGAAGCUGCGGCAGCGACACUAUGUGUUGUUGGGUAGGGGAGCGUUCUGUAAGCCUGUGAAGGUGUGCUGUGAGGCAUGCUGGAGGUAUCAGAAGUGCGAAUGCUGACAUAAGUAACGAUAAAGCGGGUGAAAAGCCCGCUCGCCGGAAGACCAAGGGUUCCUGUCCAACGUUAAUCGGGGCAGGGUGAGUCGACCCCUAAGGCGAGGCCGAAAGGCGUAGUCGAUGGGAAACAGGUUAAUAUUCCUGUACUUGGUGUUACUGCGAAGGGGGGACGGAGAAGGCUAUGUUGGCCGGGCGACGGUUGUCCCGGUUUAAGCGUGUAGGCUGGUUUUCCAGGCAAAUCCGGAAAAUCAAGGCUGAGGCGUGAUGACGAGGCACUACGGUGCUGAAGCAACAAAUGCCCUGCUUCCAGGAAAAGCCUCUAAGCAUCAGGUAACAUCAAAUCGUACCCCAAACCGACACAGGUGGUCAGGUAGAGAAUACCAAGGCGCUUGAGAGAACUCGGGUGAAGGAACUAGGCAAAAUGGUGCCGUAACUUCGGGAGAAGGCACGCUGAUAUGUAGGUGAAGUCCCUCGCGGAUGGAGCUGAAAUCAGUCGAAGAUACCAGCUGGCUGCAACUGUUUAUUAAAAACACAGCACUGUGCAAACACGAAAGUGGACGUAUACGGUGUGACGCCUGCCCGGUGCCGGAAGGUUAAUUGAUGGGGUUAGCCGCAAGGCGAAGCUCUUGAUCGAAGCCCCGGUAAACGGCGGCCGUAACUAUAACGGUCCUAAGGUAGCGAAAUUCCUUGUCGGGUAAGUUCCGACCUGCACGAAUGGCGUAAUGAUGGCCAGGCUGUCUCCACCCGAGACUCAGUGAAAUUGAACUCGCUGUGAAGAUGCAGUGUACCCGCGGCAAGACGGAAAGACCCCGUGAACCUUUACUAUAGCUUGACACUGAACAUUGAGCCUUGAUGUGUAGGAUAGGUGGGAGGCUUAGAAGUGUGGACGCCAGUCUGCAUGGAGCCGACCUUGAAAUACCACCCUUUAAUGUUUGAUGUUCUAACGUUGACCCGUAAUCCGGGUUGCGGACAGUGUCUGGUGGGUAGUUUGACUGGGGCGGUCUCCUCCUAAAGAGUAACGGAGGAGCACGAAGGUUGGCUAAUCCUGGUCGGACAUCAGGAGGUUAGUGCAAUGGCAUAAGCCAGCUUGACUGCGAGCGUGACGGCGCGAGCAGGUGCGAAAGCAGGUCAUAGUGAUCCGGUGGUUCUGAAUGGAAGGGCCAUCGCUCAACGGAUAAAAGGUACUCCGGGGAUAACAGGCUGAUACCGCCCAAGAGUUCAUAUCGACGGCGGUGUUUGGCACCUCGAUGUCGGCUCAUCACAUCCUGGGGCUGAAGUAGGUCCCAAGGGUAUGGCUGUUCGCCAUUUAAAGUGGUACGCGAGCUGGGUUUAGAACGUCGUGAGACAGUUCGGUCCCUAUCUGCCGUGGGCGCUGGAGAACUGAGGGGGGCUGCUCCUAGUACGAGAGGACCGGAGUGGACGCAUCACUGGUGUUCGGGUUGUCAUGCCAAUGGCACUGCCCGGUAGCUAAAUGCGGAAGAGAUAAGUGCUGAAAGCAUCUAAGCACGAAACUUGCCCCGAGAUGAGUUCUCCCUGAC
rnacentral:rRNA from 1 species